ensembl:snRNA
UAAAAGGGCUUCCGUCAUGAGUGGCACACAUAGAGCACCUUGGUUGCUCUUCACGCAGAAUGAAUAUCAACAUCAAGAGAUUUUGGAAGCAUAAUUUUUGUUGCUAGGGCAGCUGGUGAUCAUGGGUCAUGGCACCCUU